rnacentral:rRNA from 1 species
CAAAAACCGGUACCCAUUCGGAUUGUAGGCUGCAACUCGCCUACAUGAAGUCGGAGUUGCUAGUAAUCGCGGAUCAGAAUGCCGCGGUGAAUGCGUUCCCGGGUCUUGUACACACCGCCCGUCACACCAUGGGAGUCGGAAAUGCCCGAAGCCGGUGACCCAACCAAAAGGAGGGAGCCGUCGAAGGCAGGUCUGAUAACUGGGGUGAAGUCGUAACAAGGUAGC